rnacentral:sRNA from 1 species
AUAUAUAUAUAUAUAUCUACAUAUACAUUUUUGUAAUCAUUUUGUGGAAAAAAUCCUGGAGUUGAGACUUAUUUGGAGUUGAGACUUAUUUACAAUGGCUGCCACUGGAUUUUAAUUAUUUGAUUUUUUUUAAUU